UACGGGGGGUGCGAGCGUUGUCCGGAAUCACUGGGCGUAAAGGGCGCGUAGGUGGCCUGAUAAGGGUGUGGUGAAAGUCCGGGGCUCAACCCCGGAUCGGCCGUGCCGACUGUUGGGCUAGAGUACUGUAGGGGGAGGCGGAAUUCCGGGUGUAGCGGUGGAAUGCGCAGAUAUCAGGAGGAACACCGGUGGCGAAGGCGGGUCUCUGGGCAGUAACUGACGCUGAGGAGCGAAAGCGUGGGGAGCGAACAGG
rnacentral:rRNA from 1 species